GAUGCGGGCGCCUCCCCUCGGGGGGAGUACCAAAGGGUCACUUUCUGAGGACUCAGACUAUCCCUGUGCUGGAGACCCAAAAGAAAAUGGCAUGACCACUGUGCUGCUGACCCCUGCAUCCCAGGAGUCAUUGGUGAUCAGGGAUAUGGCUGAG